rnacentral:rRNA from 1 species
CGCAAAAAUUCGGAAAUAUAACACCGAUAUGACGGAAACUAAGGCGGCAAGAGUGGAACAAAACACUAGGCGAAAGGCCGAGCCUUCCACCCUUUACCAAGUAUAUAGAUGCAUUAAGAUAACAAGAUAAUAUAGUGAUAUCCCAACAAGUAAAUAAUGUUCCAACAAGGAACGGUCUCCAAUCUUCACUUGCAACUAGCAACGCUAUAAUAGGGGCUGAACAAAGCGGUAACAUAGCCAACCAAUGGUUUGCUAGGACAUAGUGGGUUAGAGGUUUGACAUGGCAAUUUGGGAGGCUUGAAAGCAAGUGGUAGGCAUCGUAGCAUGUCAUAGCAAAAGAGCGAGCAUCUAGUAAAGCAAAGAUAAUAGUGAUUUCGAGGGUAUGAUCAUCUUGCCUGCAAAGUUGUCAGAGUUGACUGGAUCCUCGAGAGCAAACUCAACGGGUUCCUCGUUAGCGAAUUCGUCUCCCGGCUCUAUCCAAACAAGACAAACAAGCAAAAGGAACACAAUCAAUCACGUGCAAAGCUCAAACAAUAUGAUGCAAGGAUGGUAUGCUAUGCAGGAUGCGAUGCGGGAUGCAUAUGCAAGAUUUGAUAAGGGAUGCAUGAACCUGGCCUCAACUUGGAAAACCAAGUGUGCCACUGGAAAGGUGAGAUGAAAUCGCUUGAAAACGAUAUAAAGAACGCCGGAAUUGGAGUUACGGUUUGGAAAUGGCAAGCAAUUCAAAUAUGGCCACGUUCUGCGAUUUACAACAAGUAGCCAUCUAAAUGCAACAAGAUGAACAUGCUACAGCACUCAAACAUGACAUCAAAAUACAUGGCAGGAAUCCAUUCAAGAUACUAGACAAAAGUUUAGCACUGAGCUACGGCCAAUUCAUCCAUUAACAGGUUCAAAUAAGCAUGGCAAAAAUGUAUUUGGCAAACAGAUCUCAGACUUAGUGAAAUUAACACUUGUCUGGAAUUUCAGAUCGGAUAGCACACUUCGAAGCAUGAAAACUAUAUGCUACAGGACCUGAACAUGGCAAAGUAAAGCAUGGCAUGGAGCUACUCAAAGAGCUUAACAAAAGUCCCUUAGUGACCUUGAUCCAAAAAGAAUCAGAAAAUACAAUUGCAAGCAUGUGAACAUGGCAAAAAUAUAAUCAGAUCACAGACUUAGUGAAAACUGGAGCAUACUGAAACAUAUAACAAGUAAGCAUGUUUACGAGCUUGAUGCACUCACUACAGAGCAAGCCAUGACAGCCUAAGCAUACACCCAUCAAGAACACACAAAAUGCAAGCUAGACAUGGCAAGAACAAUAACAUAGCAUGCAUGGAUCAACUACAACAUCAUCGGUAAAAUCGCUAACAAGUAGACAAUCUGCCCAGAUUCACGAAAUGACAAAAGUAGAGCUCGAUUGACUCAAGCUAGGGUGCUUCAUAAUUGCAAACAAAGACAUGGAUGGAUAGAACACUACAAGAUUAACAAAACAUCCUUACUGGUCAUCCUCAAAAGAGGCAUGGAUCAUUAGGAAACAACAUGAACAUAUGGCCAUAUGAGAUAAACAGACCAAUGAGUUAGUGGAAAUGCUAAGUCCCUGAAAUCAGCAUUAACAAAUGCCCCACUUUGCAAGCUUGUGCUAGUCAUCACACACAUCACAAAAAUACAUAGGUUGCACCUCUGGAAAGAUGGCAAAACCUUUAACAAAAUAUAUGUAGAACACCAGGGCAUAUCAUUCACACAAUAAUCAUGGCAAAAAUGAUAAAUAGCUAAAUGGAGCAGCAGAUCUGACAAUUAACUCAAAUAGCACCCUUCUAAUAGCAUUUCGGGCAUCAAGAUGAACUCAAAUGAAAAUGAUGCAAUGAGAUGAAAUGAUGUACUUUCUGAUAUGAACAUUUUGAUAUGCUAUAUGCCCAAAACGGAGCUACGGAUGAGGAGUUACGACAUGAUGAACAGGAGCAAAUGAAUUAGGGUUAGGGACGGAAAGUCAACCGAAUCUCAGAUCUGGAUCGGGUUUACACGCGGUUCGAGGUUCGUCGCCGUUCCACCGGAGUUGACGUCCGAGUCGGCCGGAUCGGAGGAAGACAAGCGUCGGGGUCGAGGUGGAGCGAGGAGGAGGCCGGCCGGAGCGCGUCGGGGCGGCGAGGCGCGUCGGCGG